AUAAACAGUGGGACACAUUUCUGAAGAAAAUCCUUUUCCCGUUAUUAACAUCCUUGUUGUCUGACUUUAAACAUCCACACUGCGGUCUGUGCUCAGUGUCAGCUUUCCAGCCAGACUCUCCUCACAUCCUCGUCUUCCUGCAAGACAUCGCAGCUAACAUCAUGAUGCGCUCAGUCCUCAGUGUCUGUGUGAUGUUUCCUCUUCUACUACAAGGUUUGAAUGCAGAGUUGAAAGCCCACCUUGUGAAUGGAACUGCCCCGUGGAAUGGCCGCCUUGAGGUGUUGUACGACGGAGCAUGGCGCCCAGUGUGUGUUAAUAGGUUUAGGAAACAAGAGACACAGGUGGUCUGCAGGGAGCUGGGCUUCAACACGUCGCAAGUUUAUACCGCGUCGCUAUAUAUGUACGGUAUGAGAUACAAGAUCAACUUUCACGACCUGAGUUGUACAGGCGAGGAGACCAGCUUAGAUAAGUGUAACUAUACAGAGAUUAGAGAGGACUUCUUGUGCCUCUAUGUCGUUGCUAUCACCUGCAACUCAAGUAAGAAUCUGUUGUUUCUAUUCUGUUGUUUGCUGUGUCGCAUUGUGUAUCCUCAAAUGGAGAAAAAGAAACAUUGACACAUUUACCGUUUUUUAUGCAAGAAUUCCUUACAAAAGAGAUAUCAAGCAUGCAAGAAUAUCUAGAGAUUAGGUAAAACUCAUGAUGUACUUUCACAACAAUUAAAAUGUAAAGACUUAACAAUAUUGCAACGCAUCUUAAUUAUUUAAAUGAUUUUUGCCUUUUUGUUGAUAUAGAAACUGUUUUGUCUGCACAGAUACUGAAGUGGCAAUGUACAUAUAGACAAACUUAUAGAGAUAGUAAAUAUCUGACGGCUUGUUACAGAAAACAUAACAGUGCGAUUGAGUGUUAGGGUGCCAAGUAACAGACGUCAGCUAGAGAUAGACAUCGGAGUUAAUCAUUGGCAUACACUGUGUGUGUCGUCUAACAACACUGCCAGGGUCGUCUGUAGACAGCUCGGCUUACCAUGGCUUGGUGCGAGGACGUUUGUAAAUGAAGACAGGAUCUCUGGUGAUUUCUUAUCUUGCCUUGGGAAUGAGACUAGCAUCGCUGAGUGUCAGCAUGAGGUGUCUAGUGGCGGAUACUGCCAGUAUUACAACAUCAUUUGCAGUAACUAUAUUGUCAACAUCCAAACAAACAGUAGCAGAUAUCCUUUAAUGGAGGAAACAAAUGCUACUUUAAAGUGUGCGAGCAAUGAGCGGUCUGGUGUAAUAAAGUACACGUGGCCAGAAAAUG